AUUGAACGCUGGCGGCAGGCUUAACACAUGCAAGUCGAGCGGAGAUGAGGUGCUUGCACCUUAUCUUAGCGGCGGACGGGUGAGUAAUGCUUAGGAAUCUGCCUAUUAGUGGGGGACAACAUUCCGAAAGGAAUGCUAAUACCGCAUACGCCCUACGGGGGGAAAGCAGGGGAUCUUCGGACCUUGCGCUAAUAGAUGAGCCUAAGUCGGAUUAGCUAGUUGGUGGGGUAAAGGCCUACCAAGGCGACGAUCUGUAGCGGGUCUGAGAGGAUGAUCCGCCACACUGGGACUGAGACACGGCCCAGACUCCUACGGGAGGCAGCAGUGGGGAAUAUUGGACAAUGGGCGGAAGCCUGAUCCAGCCAUGCCGCGUGUGUGAAGAAGGCCUUUUGGUUGUAAAGCACUUUAAGCGAGGAGGAGGCUACCUGGAUUAAUACUCUAGGAUAGUGGACGUUACUCGCAGAAUAAGCACCGGCUAACUCUGUGCCAGCAGCCGCGGUAAGAC
rnacentral:rRNA from 1 species